UACGUAGGGGCCGAGCGUUGUCCGGAGUUAUUGGGCGUAAAGCGCGCGCAGGCGGCUUGGCGCGCCCGACGUGAAAGCCCCCGGCUUAACCGGGGAGAGUCGUCGGGGACGGCCGGGCUUGAGGGCGGGAGAGGGUGGUGGAAUUCCCGGUGUAGUGGUGAAAUGCGUAGAGAUCGGGAGGAACACCUGUGGCGAAGGCGGCCACCUGGGCCGACCCUGACGCUGAGGCGCGAAAGCGUGGGGAGCGAACAGG
rnacentral:rRNA from 1 species